AUGGGGAUUAAGAUUCAACAUCUUCUGAUUCCAGUUCUACUCUUAAGUCAUUCUUUGAGGAGAUCCUCAAACUUAGUCCUUUGUCUAUUUAAGAAUACUAUUUGUAUUUGCUUUUUAAGACAGCUCAUUUGGGCCAGGGAUAUAGCCCAGUGGCACAAGUGCUUGCCUGGCAAGCGCAAGGUCCUGAGUUUGAUUCCCAGUACCAAAAAAAAAAAAAAAAAAAAAAAAAAAAAAAAUGACUAAACAUUUCCUCGAGUGAGAAACUCACCUUUUAGUCCUUUCCAUCCAGUACAUCCUUCUAACAAGUAUUGCUAUUAUGUGGUAUCCUGAGAAAAGGUUUAUUCUGUAAUAUCUACUGUGUAUUUUGACUCAUCUAGGCUGGGAAUAGGGGAUUUUUAGUUGAAUUCCUCUCUCCCUGAGAGGCCUAAGGCCUUUUAUAUACAUAUACUAAGUUGUCAAGUGACAUUUAUUUCUCAGUUCCUACCAUGUGCCCUGUGCUUUACAGUUUACACAGCUAUUCAUAUCCUUGUCUCAUUUUAUCUUUACAAUGGUUCUAAGCAGUACAUAGGAUAUCCAUUUCAUAGAUACACAUACUCAGAAAGGCAGUCACUUGCCUCAGAGUAGCUAGCUGUUUAACUCAAAUAUCAGACCCGAGCCUAGAUUAUCUGCAAUAAUAUGCCAAAAUUUCCAGCAGAAUUAGAUGGCAAUUUUUUCUUAUAGAAAUUGUUUCUCUUUAAAAAAUACUUGCCACAUGAUUUAAUUAUAUUGUAAGCAUCUCACUGCUUUUGAAAUUUAAUUUACAAAAACUUGAUACACAAUAUUUUCAGGAUUAUAUCUACUGUGUGGGAUGAGAGUAUGGUUAAAUGCAGUGGCCUCAGGA
rnacentral:lncRNA from 1 species